rnacentral:rRNA from 1 species
UACAGAGGAGGCAAGCGUUGUUCGGAAUUACUGGGCGUAAAGGGCGCGUAGGCGGCCACCUAAGUCAGACGUGAAAUCCCUCGGCUUAACCGGGGAACUGCGUCUGAUACUGGAUGGCUUGAGUGUGGGAGAGGGAUGCGGAAUUCCAGGUGUAGCGGUGAAAUGCGUAGAUAUCUGGAGGAACACCGGUGGCGAAGGCGGCAUCCUGGACCACGACUGACGCUGAGUGAGCGAAAGCCAGGGGAGCAAACGGG